AGAAAUAAGAAAUUGUGUAAGAAAAGAGAAAUUACUUGUAAAACAAAUUGAAAAUCAUAUAGGAAAGCAUAUACAUUUAAGGGGGAGCAAUUUGUAACAAUGAAAAUGAUCAAAUCAAAAAUUUCUAUCAAAUCUCAAAAUUUGGCACAUAGAAUUUCAAAAUUUGGCACGCACCUUUCACAUCUCGAUACAUAACCUGAAACUCAUGUUUUAUCUCAAAUUUUUGGAGUUUCAUCUUUAAUGAAUUAUAAAUGAAAGGGGGAGCAAUUCAAAAAGUCAAAUUGGC
rnacentral:lncRNA from 1 species